GACGAACGCUGGCGGCGUGCUUAACACAUGCAAGUCGAACGGAAAGGCCCUGCUUUUGUGGGGUGCUCGAGUGGCGAACGGGUGAGUAACACGUGAGUAACCUGCCCUUGACUUUGGGAUAACUUCAGGAAACUGGGGCUAAUACCGGAUAGGAGCUCCUGCUGCAUGGUGGGGGUUGGAAAGUUUCGGCGGUUGGGGAUGGACUCGCGGCUUAUCAGCUUGUUGGUGGGGUAGUGGCUUACCAAGGCUUUGACGGGUAGCCGUCCUGAGAGGGUGACCGGCCACAGUGGGACUGAGAUACGGCCCAGACUCCUACGGGAGGCAGCAGUGGGGAAUAUUGCACAAUGGGCGGAAGCCUGAUGCAGCAACGCCGCGUGCGGGAUGACGGCCUUCGGGUUGUAAACCGCUUUCGCCUGGGACGAAGCGUGAGUGACGGUAAUGGGUAAAGAAGCACCGGCUAACUACGUG
rnacentral:rRNA from 1 species